rnacentral:sRNA from 1 species
CAUGAGUGGCUCGUCAAGGCUUAGCCUCCUUGGGUACUCAAAGGGCCGCGCCUCGAUAGCGCGGCCCUUUUCGUUACGCCGG